CCUACGGGGGGCUGCAGUGGGGAAUAUUGGACAAUGGGGGCAACCCUGAUCCAGCCAUGCCGCGUGUGUGAAGAAGGCCCUCGGGUUGUAAAGCACUUUCAGCGAGGAAGAACGCCUGGUGGUUAAUACCCAUCAGGAAAGACAUCACUCACAGAAGAAGCACCGGCUAACUCCGUGCCAGCAGCCGCGGUAAUACGGAGGGUGCGAGCGUUAAUCGGAAUUACUGGGCGUAAAGCGCGCGUAGGUGGCUUGAUAAGCCGGUUGUGAAAGCCCCGGGCUCAACCUGGGAACGGCAUCCGGAACUGUCAAGCUAGAGUGCAGGAGAGGAAGGUAGAAUUCCCGGUGUAGCGGUGAAAUGCGUAGAGAUCGGGAGGAAUACCAGUGGCGAAGGCGGCCUUCUGGACUGACACUGACACUGAGGUGCGAAAGCGUGGGUAGCAAACAGGAUUAGAUACCCGAGUAGUC
rnacentral:rRNA from 1 species